CUUGUACAAAUCCUCAUCUUUUAAAAAAAAAAAGUAUACGCAAAUUUUUUUAUUUAUUUAUACAGAAAAUAUCGGGUUGUUACACAUGCAAUUAUCGAAACUAUAUUUUCCUAUAAAUAGAAGCUCAUUCUUCCUUCAUUCUCACCAAUUCACUAAGUCUCACAAGAGCAAUUAUAGAGAUAGAAGCUAUAGAGAGAGAAGUUAUAGAGAGAAAGAAGAAGCGAAGUCUGCUACUUCACUAUUCUAGUAUCCAGUCUUCUUCUGAGGUAAGGGGUAUAAUUUUUUUCAUAUUUUGAAGAGAUAUUAUUUUUCGUAUUCGUAUGAAUGUUAUUUUCGUUCAAUAUUCGUAAGGAAUAUCAUCUUCGAUCAAUAUUCGUAGGAAUAUUGUUUUCGUUCAACAGUUGUAAGGGGUAUUAUUUCUUCGUAAAUGAUAUUAUUUCUUUCAAUAUCAUUAUGCCGGAAUAUUGGUAUGAAUUUUAUUGUGGCAUUUCUACCAUUUUGUGUCGAGGUUACUAUUCACUCUAGUAUUAUUCACUCGGGUAUUCGGGGCACUUUUUAUGUUGGAAUACUAUUCACGAGUUACUAUUCAUGGAUUACUAUUCACCUGUUUACUAUUCACUCUAGUACUAUUCACUCGGGUAUUCGGGGCACUUUUUGUGCCGAAGUACUAUUCACGAGUUACUAUUCACGGGUUACUAUUCACUCGAUUAUUAUUUACUAGAAUAUUAUUCACUCGGGUAUUUGGGGCACUUUUCAUGCCGGGGUACUAUUUACGAGGUACUAUUCUCGAAGUACUAUUCAUAGGGUACUAUUCAUAGAGUACUAUUCACCCGAAAAAUAUAUUUCUUUUCUGUCCAAAAUAUUUUUGGUACAUGAAUAUUAUUCUUGAAUUUUACUCCACAAAGUAGUAUCAUGUUGACAAUUUGGAUAUUUUAAACUCUAGAUAAAUUUAAAGUCUUUAAUAUUUAUCCUUGAUUUCGUUUGAUUAAUGCUUAUAUCAUUGUCAUCAUCCUCAUGAUUAUAUUGUGAUGAAAGUCAUCUUUGGCUUACGUGCAUAAAUGGAUUGUUGAUUAUUGGUUUUACAGUUAUAUAUUUUUGGCUUACGUACAAAGAUGGACUGUUGAUUAUUGGUUUUAUAGUUGUAUAUCUUUGGCUUACGUGCAAAGAUGGACAUGUGUAUGACAUGAUCAUAACCACUGAUAAUAAUAACGAAUAUCCUUAGCCCGUAGUGCAUGGAUAAUUCGAUGAUGUGAUUGGCAGGAUAAUGACCAUUAGUUAACAGUUGAAUGUCUUUGGCCGUAGUGCACUGACAGACAAUUGAUUGGUAUGGUCAUGACCAUUGGUUUUAUAGUUGAAUAUCUUUGGCCGUAGUUGUGGCGACCCCAAAUCCAGGUACUUGCAACCCGAACUCGGUUCUCCACGAUACCAUUUCUUUAAGCUGAAUAAUACUAAAUAAUAAUACAUUCGAACUUAAUUUACAUACAUCAAAGUUUACUUCCCCAGGUACGUGACCUUCAAAU
rnacentral:lncRNA from 1 species